AUUGAACGCUGGCGGCAGGCCUAACACAUGCAAGUCGAGCGAGCGGCGGACGGGUGAGUAAUGUAUGGGGACUGCCCGAUAGAGGGGGAUAACUACUGGAGACGGGGGCUAAUACCGCAUACUGUCGGAAAACCCAUAUGGGAUUAGCUAGUAGGUAAGGGAAUGGCUUACCUAGGCUACGAUCCCUAGCUGGUCUGAGAGGAUGAUCAGCCCCACGGGGACUAAGACACGGCCCAGACUCCUGCGGAGGCAGCAGUGGGGAAUAUUGAACAAUGGGCGCAAGCCUGAUGCAGCCCUGCCGCGUGUAUGAAGAAGGCCCUAGGGUUGUAAAGUACUUGCAGUCGGGAGGCGUUACCGACAGAAGAAGCACCGGCUAACGCCGUGCCAGCAGCCGCGGUAAUAC
rnacentral:rRNA from 1 species